CGCAGUAGCAAUACUGAGUGGCAGACGGGUGAGUAACAUGUGGGAAUCUGCCUUGUGGUUCAGGACAACAUUGGGAAACCGAUGCUAAUACUGGAUAAGCCCUUACGGGGAAAGUUUUAAUGCCAUAAGAUGAGCCCGCAUUUGAUUAGUUAGUUGGUGAGGUAAUGGCUCACCAAGACAAUGAUCAAUAGCUGAUCUGAGAGGAUGAUCAGCCACACUGGGACUGAGACACGGCCCAGACUCCUACGGGAGGCAGCAGUGGGGAAUCUUGCACAAUGGAGGAAACUCUGAUGCAGCGAUGCCGCGUGAGUGAAGAAGGCCUUUGGGUUGUAAAGCUCUUUUGUAGGGGAAGAUAAUGACUGUACCCUAAGAAUAAGGUCCGGCUAACUUCGUGCCAGCAGCCGCGGUAAUACGAAGGGACCUAGCGUAGUUCGGAAUUACUGGGCGUAAAGCGCGCGUAGGCCGUUGAGUUAGUUAAUUGUGAAAUCCCAAAGCUUAACUUUGGAACUGCAAUUAAAACUGCUCGACUAGAGUUUGAUAGAGGAAAGCGGAAUACAUAGUGUAGAGGUGAAAUUCGUAGAUAUUAUGUAGAACACCAGUUGCGAAGGCGGCUUUCUGGAUCAACACUGACGCUGAGGCGCGAAAGUAUGGGUAGCAAAGAGGAUUAGAUACCCUCGUAGUCCAUACCAUAAACGAUGAUUGCUAGAUGUUGGAAAUUUAUUUUCAGUAUCGCAGCUAACGCAUUAAGCAAUCCGC
rnacentral:rRNA from 1 species